AGUGAACGCUGGCGGUAGGCCUAACACAUGCAAGUCGAACGGCAGCACAGUAAGAGCUUGCUCUUACGGGUGGCGAGUGGCGGACGGGUGAGGAAUACAUCGGAAUCUACUUUUUCGUGGGGGAUAACGUAGGGAAACUUACGCUAAUACCGCAUACGACCUACGGGUGAAAGCAGGGGAUCUUCGGACCUUGCGCGAUUGAAUGAGCCGAUGUCGGAUUAGCUAGUUGGCGGGGUAAAGGCCCACCAAGGCGACGAUCCGUAGCUGGUCUGAGAGGAUGAGCAGCCACACUGGAACUGAGACACGGUCCAGACUCCUACGGGAGGCAGCAGUGGGGAAUAUUGGACAAUGGGCGCAAGCCGGAUCCAGCCAUACCGCGUGGGUGAAGAAGGCCUUCGGGUUGUAAAGCCCUUUUGUUGGGAAAGAAAAGCAGCAGGUUAAUACCCCGCUGUUCUGACGGUACCCAAAGAAUAAGCACCGGCUAACUUCGUG
rnacentral:rRNA from 1 species